GACAGAAGCUUGUAUGACGACUGGGCGUCCCUUUGCCUUCCCAGCCCCUUAUGUAUGAUUCCAGGCAUAGGAUGACAAAGGGAAGUCCAUAGGUCACAUGUCUG